rnacentral:rRNA from 1 species
UACGUAGGGGGCAAGCGUUAAUCGGAAUUACUGGGCGUAAAGCGUGCGCAGGCGGCUUUGCAAGUCAGAUGUGAAAUCCCCGGGCUUAACCUGGGAACUGCAUUUGUGACUGCAUGGCUGGAGUGCGGCAGAGGGGGAUGGAAUUCCGCGUGUAGCAGUGAAAUGCGUAGAUAUGCGGAGGAACACCGAUGGCGAAGGCAAUCCCCUGGGCCUGCACUGACGCUCAUGCACGAAAGCGUGGGGAGCAAACAGG